UUUUUUUUUUUUUUUUUUUUUUUUUUUUUUUUUGCUAUUUAUUUGGGCCGCUCCCACACAUAUGGAGGUGCAGCCCUAGAAAAGUCAAAAAAAAAAAAAAUCAAUUCAGUUCAUUCUUUUGCACGAACUGGGAGUGUUUCAGGGAGUAGGAAGGGGAAAGUCUGAGAAACAUCAUCAGCAGGACUCUGAGUUUCUUCCCUGGAUGGAUUCAGACGUUUCCCCACACGUCUGUUCUAUCAUUUGAUGUCAGAUGCACACCGCCUAGGGCACACAUGUGAAACGACUCCAAGGGUCGUCCUGGGACAGAACCUGAGUCGUUUGCAGCCCGUGUUUGUGCUCAGCUGGGCUGCGUCCCAACAUCAGGGUAGGCUCUGCUCCUGCUCCUGCAACCACCAGUGGGCACAGUGCCUGCAAGAACGCAGGGCUUGCUGCCCCCGUCCCCCCAUCCUCCCCAUCCACAGACCACGGUUUUCACCUCUCGUUACUCUGCAUCUCACCCUUUCCCUCCUGUGUUUGCACACAGCUCCCCCUCAGAACACCCCCCGCCAGGGGACAUGCUGAGCCCCUCCCUGAGCAUCGCCAGCACCAAGUGUGGUACCCAGCACUGGAGACUGUGCAGCGGUCCGUGACUCGCUGCAGCGGAGCAGGGACACGCGGUGCAGCUCACGCCUGACGUCCCAUCGCAUGGACUCACACCUCACCACAGCUCCACAACACCCAGAGUGCCUCCCAGGGAGGAGGAGCACCCCCGAAAAGCCGAGAGCCCAGGGGGCUUCAAGGAGAGGGCGUGUCAAACAUCCAUUUCUGUUACUGUAAUUGUUGCUGCAGGUUGCUUCUAGGUCUGAACUGUCUACAGCAAAGGAACCUAACUCAGCCAACAGGCAGAUGGACUUGGCACCGUCUUAAGACUAAAAGCAGAAUUAUCAGUAAAAAUGAGAAGCUGUUCGAUACUCAACUGAAAUUACACGUCAAAAUUACGCGCCCUGAAUGUAUUAUAUGAGAAUCAUGUCCUUAGAAAAGUCCUUCCUUAGAAAAACUAUGUGUCCUGAAUACCUGACAGGCAUCUUGAAAAUUAAGGUUCAAGUGUGAAGGCAGAAAUUUUUUUUAUCAUUGCGAACAACUGAAGCAUUACAAAUGAAUGGCACAAAUGUAAACAGAUAUAAAAUGAAACGAACCCCUUUAAGCAGUGCCACUUCAGUAACAGCGCCGCCUUGGGAAGAUAACAUUGUCACCUGGUAACUCCUCUAUUAAGGAAAAGCAACGAAAUUGGUUAGGAUGACACAGAACUGCCGCGGCGGCGCUUAGAAGCAUUCGUGGGGAUGUGUAUACCUGCCCUCGGUACACGUGCUCGCCUCAUACCACAGACGUCUCUGUUUAAAUACCCAAUGCUCACAGUGUCUUACUAUCUUGCAAGGCAGAAAAAUGGCAUGUGAGAGCUGGCCUGGAAAACAGGGGACACGAAAAGGAACACACAGCCUUAUCUUCCCCGCGGGAGUGCACGUGCCCGGUGACCUCCUCUGACGCCAGGAAUUCCUCAUCC
rnacentral:lncRNA from 1 species